AUUACAUGACUUUUGAUUUCCUCAGUUAUACAGCUUGAUGAUCUAUUUGUUAAUGAAUUUCAGGAAGAACUUUUAAUGGGGGAGAUACAAGAUUUAACCAGAAAGGGGAGCUUGAUGCAUCAACAAAACAUUGAACUCUACAAGAAGAUAUAUGGCACAAGAGUGAAUGCAGAAAAUUGCGUAAUCGAAGAGAAUGACGACCGUGGUGGCCUUAUGAAUCUGCAACUAAGCCAGCUUUAGCAUCAAACUCAUGGAAUACCUCUAGCAUCGUGAGAAAAAUAAGGGGACAGUCAAAUUUGUUCUGGAAAAUGUACUUAAGAGUUCGUCAAGAAAGAA